GAUCUUAGCAUCCCAAGAUCUGAAUCCAAGCAGUCCCAGGUAAUAGUUAAAACUCUGAAACUGAUUUAGCCUCAGACCUCCUCUCCUCCCUUGGCUCGGACCUGCCUCGUGCUGGAAGCCUGCCCUGGGAAAGGGCACGGUCCUUUUCCUCUCCUCUCCUCUGCUCAGCUCCUCCCCUUGCUAGCUGCUGUUUUCCUCCACGCCUGGAAUGAAGCCCAGAGAGAGAGGGACCGCACGUGGGCAGGUUUCUCUCCCGCCUCCGCAGAGUGGUUACUGCUCUGCGGCCUCUUCACGUGCUGGGAUGAUCCUGGGUCCUUUUCUCAAGUUCAAAGUCGUGCAUGUGACCAUGGCCACUUCUGGACAGAAAACAGUGGCAUCCUGAAAAGGGCUGGAGAAACUAUCAACUGUGAUUCUGCACUCUGACCAAACUAAGUUACGGAGGCAAAUCCUUUGGGUUUUAUAACAUCCAUGAAAAGAACCGGGCUCUCAUAUCCUACACUGUGGGUGUUGUUCUUCUCUGAAAAGAUGUACUUUUAUUAUUUAAAUUCUAUCAGAAAAUACUCAUUUCUGUUUUACUGGUUUUUGUCUUUAUAUCUUGAAAAGAAUGAUUAUGAGAAUGAAGUUUCAUAUAUCUCGAUUUUAAUAGUGUAUUUCCCAUCAGAGUAAUGAGCUUCCUUCUCCCUCAUCUUUUCCUGAAACUACCUGAAAAAGAGGCAACGGAGAGAAGUAGAUGGAGACCAGAAUAUCACCUUUCCUACUGGGAAAGCUGACACUGAAGAAAGUAGAAUAUGUGCAAACGGACUUCCUAACGCUGAGCCCAAGUGUUGGUAGGGCUGCCCAUCCGCCUGCAGGCAGAGUCGGCCCACCAGCAGGCUCCACGCUGGUUGGUGUACAGCUUUGCUGCUAUGCUCCCUGUGGGUUCGAGAGCCAGCUGGAGCUGACUGACCAAUCAGCAGAAUUCACCUGUGAAGCCACCUGGCCCUGCACGUUUCUUCAUUGGAGCUGUUUGGUUCCUGAUUCGAUCUCUUUACUUGUUGGAGCCAGAGGCUGGCUGCCGUCUGAGGUGAAGGCUGAGCCGGGCGUUACCUAGAGGCAGAGUUCUGGACGGAGUGUCGGAAAGCGAAUGCCUCCCUGGCUCAGUUGCUGAAACCAUGGGAACUCCAAAGUGACAACGUGCGUGUCCAACAGUCCUGAUUCCUGACUCCACCACUGAGCAGCUCUCGGCCCUGCCAGCCUCCUUCUGAGCCUCGGCCUUCCCAUCUGUCAAAUGGAAUGAAAACAUCGACCUUCCAAGAUUGCAAUGAGGACUAAACGUGACCCCAAGGGCUGGCCUGUAGUGACAAUUCCUAAAUGGUUUAUAUUUUUAUAAAAGUGCCCUUGCCUUUAAAUUGGCAUGCUUAGUGGGUAUGAAAGGCAACAGGAAAGAAUCUAGGGUGACAGAUAAGACAUACACAGAACCAGCUGAUCACUGGGAUCAGGAACAAGCGGCCCCUCUGGGAGAGGUGGGGAAUUUAAACUGAGUAUUUGAGGACAAACAGGAAGGUGACUUCCCUUCCCCAGCUAUGAACUUGGGAUGUUCCUCUCUUUUCCUGUGUGGGCUUCCAUGUUCUUCAGAGAAGGGAACUGUAGUUCUGAGGGACGGGCGAGAGAGAGUCUAAUUGCUGUCCGUGCAACAGUCACUCAAGACCCGGAUCGACCUUGAACAAACCCACACAACCCUGGGCCCCACGGAGGGGAGCUCCCGGGAAGCACUGUGAGGGAUGCGGGGCGGGCUGGCUGGCUGGCUGGCUGGGGGCUCCUGGGACUUUGGACAAAGGUGAACUGAAUACAAGGAAAUGCUGCAGACUCGGCCGGGCCACCAGAAGGAACCAAAACACCACGAGAAACCCCGUUCAGUAGACCACGGAAAAGUCCUCUUUGUUGUUUGAAAUUUUUAUCUCGCUUGUGGCAAGUCUAAUCAUUUAGUAACGACCACAGCUGUGUUCAGGCCGCUGGUUUUUCCCCGAAGCUUUACCCCCUCUUUAGAGGAGGAACAAAACCAGCUGGUCGGGCCAGCUCUUCCCGGCUCCCUCUGCAGGUUCUGAAAUGUGUUUGAGACAGACAGAGUGUGCAGCGGCCGCCCAAAGAUUUUAUCAGGUUCUUACGACUCGAAUUCCGGUGGGAGGAAGCAGAGUCAAACUAGCUGUUUGGGUUCAUGCACAAGGCAUUUCUGGGCAUGCAGCUCUAUCUAUCCUGCUGUCGAAAUGAGUUCGAAAGAGUCAGAUGGUUUCUCAUUUUCAUCCUCACUAUGGUAAUGACAGAGACACACAGAGAAGAGUCAGGUUUCCCAGACUCUGCCAGGGGAACAGUUGGCAUCUGUCAGCGACCAUUUUCUCACCUCUGAAUCCCCCUGGUCAGUGUCUCCCUCCUGUGCGUGCUCUGAGGGGACCCUGAGCCAGAGAGCAGCAAAAAGAAGAGAAAGCAAGGCCAAGGUGGUGUGCUUUGGCAAUCACUGCGAAGUGGCCAGGGCGGGGGCACUGAUCCGCACAGCUGCAGAGUGCUCCCAGGCGGGCUGGGCGUGGCUCCUGAGGGCCCCCGCCCUCCCCCCUGGCACUCUGAUGCGCUAAUGUCCACAGAGCCUAAGGAAUGAGGGUGUGGUGGGGGGCGGGGCGAUUCACUUAUCCGCUGAUGGAUCUGUUUGUCGAUUCAUCCAAAUAAA